rnacentral:rRNA from 1 species
AGAGUUUGAUCCUGGCUCAGAUUGAACGCUGGCGGCAGGCCUAACACAUGCAAGUCGAGCGGUAGAGAGAAGCUUGCCUCUCUUGAGAGCGGCGGACGGGUGAGUAAUAUAUCGGAACGUACCCUAGAGUGGGGGAUAACGUAGCGAAAGUUACGCUAAUACCGCAUACGAUCUAAGGAUGAAAGUGGGGGAUCGCAAGACCUCAUGCUCGUGGAGCGGCCGAUAUCUGAUUAGCUAGUUGGUAGGGUAAAAGCCUACCAAGGCAUCGAUCAGUAGCUGGUCUGAGAGGACGACCAGCCACACUGGAACUGAGACACGGUCCAGACUCCUACGGGAGGCAGCAGUGGGGAAUAUUGGACAAUGGGCGAAAGCCUGAUCCAGCCAUGCCGCGUGUGUGAAGAAGGUCUUCGGAUUGUAAAGCACUUUAAGUUGGGAGGAAGGGCAGUUACCUAAUACGUGAUUGUUUUGACGUCACCGACAGAAUAAGCACCGGCUAACUCUGUGCCAGCAGCCGCGGUAAU